UGGACUUUGGCCCGAUGCAGUAACUUUCUGGGCUGGAACCUCGGGUUGGAAAUUUUGACCUUGGCCUAUUGUGACUGCCAGAAAGCCCUGGACAAGAUCUGCAAGAGCGUGGUUCAUUGGUACCCUGACAAGAUCCUGGUUUUCCUGUCUUGUACGCUGGAUUACCUGAAGAGCUCCAAGGCGCCCCUGCGCAGGGCGGCCGGGGUCUUUGCAGGAUUCCUUGCCUUUUACAUGGAUGGCCA